GAAUUGGCGGACUAUUACUGAUGGGUAUGGUAGUACUGAUUUUUGUACUUAUACAUGCAGAUUGUUAUGUGAUUGGAUUGGUGCCCUGGGGUGGUGGAGUCUACACUGUAGCACAGGCUUGCACCUGCACAGUGAUAAAAAUGUUACGAGAUGGCAGAGCAAAGCUCAGAAUGAAUUAUCAUUAGGUACAAGUUCAUAAACACAUUGUAAGAGUACACAUAUGGUAAAAUCUUUCAAAAUCAUAUCCCCACCAAUUCUCCUCACUGCUUACCCCCAUCUGUAGGUAUUGAGAGAAAGUAUGAUUUAUGGUGGCAGAGAUAAAUGAAAUAUCCAAGGGCCCUGCGUUGCCCCAACUCCUGAUUCUCUUCCAUCUGUUUGUAUGUGUUGUUGUCAAAGAAAUAAUAUUUUGAAGAGAACUUUGGAAUUGAGAAGAUGUCUUGCAACGUUGUCUGAGGAAUAUUACUUACUUCAAAGUCAUAAAGAUAACCUCCCCAAAGUCUUCUUCUGGAAGACUAUACUUUCAGCUUUCACAUUAAAGCCUGUGAUCUAACUUGCAUAUUUUGUACUUUUGUGAAAUAGAAGUCCAGGUUCGUCAUGGUUUUUUUUUUUUUCCCAAAGGGAUGUCCCGGUGUAUUAGUCAGAGUACUCCAGAGAGAACCAAUCAUAUAUAUGGGAAGGGAUUUAUUCAGGGGAAGUGGCUCCCAAAAUCAACUAGAGGUGGAAAAUUCCCACCAUAGGGGAAUCUGCAAGCUGAAGACCAGAGAAACCCAUAGCUUGGCUCAUUCUGGAAGCAGCCCCAAGUCUGAGACCUAAAGUCUGAGAGCCCCUCAGGAGUCUUGUGGUGCAAGUCACAGAGUCCAAACCUGAAGAACCUGGAGUCUGAUAGGGCAGAAGGAAAAAAGGCAUCUGUCUCUGGAAGGGAGAGAGAGAACAGAGAGGAGACAGCAGAGAAUUCCCCUUUCUUCCACCUGUUUGUCCCAGCCAAACCUCCAGCCCAUUGAAUUGUGCCCACCCAUAUUGAGGGUGGGGCUUCUCUCAGUUCACUGACUCACAGGCGAGUCUCCUCUAGAAACAGCCUAACAGAAAUACCCAGAGACAAUGCAUCACCAGGCAUCUAGGCAUUCCUCAGUCCAGUCAACUUGACACCUAAAGUUAAUCAUCACACCCAGGAAUCACAGCACUACACAGUUGAUUUUUGUGAUUGACCUUGUGUCCUGUGAUGUUGCUAAAGGUACUUAUGACUUCUAGUAAUUGUAACUAUUGAUUACUUAUGACUUUCUUUCUGUGCACUGGAGCGGGAUCAGCAGCAUCCCUGGCUUCUCACCCAUCAGAGGCUGGCAGCAUCCUCUCACGCCCUGGUGCUGAAAAACUGAUAAGUUACUCUUCAAAAACAAGAACAUUUGGAAACAACAUCUGUUUCCAGGUAUUGCCAAAUAUUUCCUUAAGGCAAAAUCAUCCCUAGCAUCACUGUGCCCUUGGAAUAGUGAAGUAGAAGAAUUCUCAUACAAUGUUUUUAGUUUUUUUCUCUUUAUUUCUUAUGGAUAAAAUGCAACAUACAUAUUCUACUUAACAAUGAAAGCUGAUGGAACAGAAGAAUCAAUAUUAGCUUCUGAGAUGGGCAAAGACAUAAAACACUGGCGUUUUCUAGUGUCAUGAUUUGUCAAUCAAAUUAGUUUUAGAAAAUAGUUGGUAAAUGUCUGACAGAAAAAAAAUUUUUAAGGUGUAUGUAAGUGUGUAAAACUGUUAAAAAUGCUUGAAAACAAACAUUUUAAUCCCAUGACAUAUUAUUUUUGUGGAAAACAGUUAAAAACUGCCUGUCAGAGAAACUAUUUAAUCCUUUAACAUAAAGUCUUUUAAGGCACAUAAACAUUUAUGAAGAACAGUUGAAAUAUGCUUGCUAGGAAGAAGGGACAUUUUAACUCAUGUGAGCUUUCAGUCAAGUGAAAUACGUGGACAGCAGAUGAAAAUGCCUGAA
rnacentral:lncRNA from 1 species